UACGGAGGGGGCAAGCGUUAUCCGGAUUUACUGGGUUUAAAGGGUGUGUAGGCGGGUUUUUAAGUCAGUGGUGAAAUCUCCGGGCUCAACCUGGAAACUGCCAUUGAUACCAUUAGUCUUGAAUUCUGUUGAGGUGGGCGGAAUAAGUCAUGUAGCGGUGAAAUGCAUAGAUAUGACUUAGAACACCAAUUGCGAAGGCAGCUCACUAAGCAGAGAUUGACGCUGAGGCACGAAAGCGUGGGGAGCAAACAGG
rnacentral:rRNA from 1 species